rnacentral:rRNA from 1 species
UGCUACAAUGGGUAGUACAGAGGGUUGCCAAGCCGUAAGGUGGAGCUAAUCCCUUAAAGCUACUCUCAGUUCGGAUUGUAGGCUGAAACUCGCCUACAUGAAGCUGGAGUUACUAGUAAUCGCAGAUCAGAAUGCUGCGGUGAAUGCGUUCCCGGGUCUUGUACACACCGCCCGUCACACCACGGGAGUUGGAGACGCCCGAAGCCGAUUAUCUAACCUUUUGGAAGAAGUCGUCGAAGGUGGAAUCAAUAACGGGGGUGAAGUCGUAACAAGGUAGCCGUAUCGGAAGGUGCGGCUGGAUCACCUCCUUUCUAAGGAGA